rnacentral:rRNA from 1 species
GAUGAACGCUGGCGGCGUGCCUAAUACAUGCAAGUCGAACGCACAGCGAAAGGUGCUUGCACCUUUCAAGUGAGUGGCGAACGGGUGAGUAACACGUGGACAACCUGCCUCAAGACUGGGGAUAACAUUUGGAAACAGAUGCUAAUACCGAAUAAAACUCAGUGUCGCAUGACACAAAGUUAAAAGGCGCUUUGGCGUCACCUAGAGAUGGAUCCGCGGUGCAUUAGUUAGUUGGUGGGGUAAAGGCCUACCAAGACAAUGAUGCAUAGCCGAGUUGAGAGACUGAUCGGCCACAUUGGGACUGAGACACGGCCCAAACUCCUACGGGAGGCUGCAGUAGGGAAUCUUCCACAAUGGGCGAAAGCCUGAUGGAGCAACGCGGCGUGUGUGAUGAAGGCUUUCGGGUCGUAAAGCACUGUUGUAUGGGAAGAACAGCUAGAAUAGGGAAUGAUUUUAGUUUGACGGUACCAUACCAGAAAGGGACGGCUAAAUACGUGCCAGCCGCCGCCGUAA